rnacentral:tRNA from 1 species
UUGGCCCGUUGGUCAAGUGGUUAAGACACCGCCCUUUCACGGCGGUAACACGGGUUCGAAUCCCGUACGGGU